GACGAACGCUGGCGGCGCGCUUAACACGUGCAAGUCGAACGGAAAGGCCUGCUUUCCCUUGUGGAUUGCGGGUACUCGAGUGGCGAACGGGUGAGUAACACGUGAGUGAUCUGCCCCCAACUUGGGUAUAAGCCUGGGAAACUGGGUCUAAUUCCCGAUAGGACUGCAGGGUGGUGCCUGUGGUGGAAAACGAUUUUCUAGUGGUUGGGGAUGAGCUCGCGGCCUAUCAGCUUGUUGGUGGGGUAAUGGCCUACCAAGGCGGCGACGGGUAGCCGGCCUGAGAGGGUGGACGGCCACAUUGGGACUGAGAUACGGCCCAGACUCCUACGGGAGGCAGCAGUGGGGAAUAUUGCACAAUGGGCGGAAGCCUGAUGCAGCGACGCCGCGUGGGGGAUGACGGCCUUCGGGUUGUAAACUCCUUUCGACCGCGAGGAAGCCACCUGGUUGGAAGGGUGGUGACGGUAGUGGUAGAAGAAGCACCGGCUAACUACGUG
rnacentral:rRNA from 1 species